ACCUCUGCACACUGAUCAACUCCACUCACCUCACUCCUCACCUAUAAAAAUGCUUCGAUCUCACUCCAGUCUCCAGUGCCUUCGUCUCGACACGUUUGCAUUGCAGCAGCUCAUAAGUUUCUUCUUCGUUUCUGCUCCCAGUGCUAAGGCAGCACAGUCGUUCGUCGCCAUGCCAGGGCUCACCAUCGGCGACACCGUCCCCAACCUGGAGCUGGACUCCACCCACGGCAAGAUCCGCAUCCACGACUUCGUCGGCGACACCUAUGUCAUCCUCUUCUCCCACCCCGGUAUACACACUACACACUACACUCGCUCGAUUCUCACAUUCUCAUUCGGUAGUAGUUUGUGUGGAUCGAUGUGCAUCCGAUUGAUUGAUUGAAUGAUCCGUCGAUCGAUCAGGCGACUUCACCCCGGUCUGCACCACGGAGCUGGCAGCCAUGGCCGGCUACGCCAAGGAGUUCGACAAGAGGGGCGUCAAGCUGCUCGGCAUCUCCUGCGACGACGUGCAGUCUCACAAGGACUGGAUCAAGGACAUCGAGGCCUACAAGGUCAUUUUAAUUACCUUCCUGGCCUAGUUAAAUUUGUGUGAAAACGUAGUAACUAAUUAACUAGAUCGAUCGUAAUAAUAUAUAUUUUUUUGGUUAUAGCCUGGGAACCGCGUGACGUACCCGAUCAUGGCCGAUCCGAGCCGCGAGGCCAUCAAGCAGCUGAACAUGGUCGACCCGGACGAGAAGGAUUCCAACGGCGGCCACCUCCCGUCCCGCGCGCUGCACAUCGUCGGCCCCGACAAGAAGGUGAAGCUGAGCUUCCUGUACCCGGCGUGCGUGGGGCGGAACAUGGAUGAGGUGGUGCGUGCGGUCGACGCGCUGCAGACGGCGGCGAAGCACGCGGUGGCGACGCCGGUGAACUGGAAGCCCGGCGAGCGCGUCGUCAUCCCUCCCGGCGUCUCCGACGACGAGGCGAAGGAGAAGUUCCCCCAGGGGUUCGACACCGCCGACCUGCCGUCCGGCAAGGGCUACCUCCGCUUCACCAAGGUCGGCUAGAUCAUAUCGAUAUCGACCUCGCUCUUCGUACAUCAUGUGCGCCACGCGUGCGUGAUAGCGUGUGCUGGCGUGAUGACUAUGCGAGAUGCAUCCCUGUGUGUGUUGGUGUGGAUAAUGCCGCUACGUUUGGAACAGUAGUGCAUUUACUCUGUGCUACUGUCUGAACUUUGGCUGUUUGGCAGACUGUUUAUGUACCCGUAUGUUCGCCCCUGUACUAAUAGAGUGGGUGUUGUGGUUGGCAAGUACUCUCCUCGGACAACAUUUUAACUUUGACUACUAAUAACAAACAAAUUAAAAAGAUCAAUCAGAUGUUACUAGACAUCUUAAUUUUAUUAAUUUUAUAGAUAUUGAUAUUGUUUGUUCAAAGUAACAUCGUAAAGUUCUAAAAUGUUUAUAUUUGGGACGGAAUUAAAACAUCUUAAUUUUAUAAAUAUUGAUCAAAAUAGCAUCAAAGUUCUAAAAUGAAGCCAUCAUUUAGUAUAUUUCGUUAAUGAAAUUUAGUAUAUAUUGUUAAUAAAAUUUUUAUAUACGUCUUCUUAGUAAUUAAAGAGCUUUACAAAACAAACUUCCAUAAAAAACCCCUAAAACAAACUUCGAUAAAAAUUUUUAUAUACGUCUUCUUAGUAAUUAAAGAGCUUUACAAAACAAACUUCCAUAAAAAACCUCUAAAACAAACUUCGAUAAAAAAACCCCUCGAAGAUAAAAAAAGACCCUCAAAAUUAAUUUGAGGUUAAAAAUUAGGCUAAAAAUAAACUUGAUAAAAAAACCACCCCUCGAAGAUAAAAAAAGACCCUCAAAAUUAAUUUGAGGUUAAAAAUUAGGCUAAAAAUAAACUUGAUAAAAAAAACCUUAAAAUUACUUUUAAAAUGAUUUAUAUUCAUGAUUUAUAUUCUAGUACGGAGAGGAUUCUAGUACGGAGAGGGUGGGUGCAUACAUGCACAUUCCAAUGUAACCAAAGAAUGAGAACAAAUGAUUAAAAUAAUAAUAAAACAGCGUACACGAAAAAGAGAAAAAAAAGGACGAAGAGAUUUUAGUGAGACGUACGCGCAAAAUUCUCAGUCGAAUCCGGCCGUAAACUCUCCAUAGGAAAAGGGUCGACAAUAGGUAAUCACCCAAACCAAGUGGUUAACGAACUAAUCAGGUUGGCAUUGCAACGUCAUCGAUGAUGAAAUCAAACGCCGCCUUUUAGUAUUUUAUAGUAGGAGGGUCAGCCUCUUCUUUGGAAAAAAAACUGUGAUACUACGAGGAAGCAAUCGUCCGUUGGCAUCGCUCGCGUGGUUAGUUGUCAGGUCGCUCCGCUUCAUUCUGCUGUGCAUUUUGGCGAGUGCCUAGACAGAUCCGUGAUGAACAGUAUAUGAAAUUUUCCACACUUUGGCCUGGUUUAGUUCCUAAAUUUUUCUUCAAACUUUCAACUUUUUCAUCACAUCAAAACUUUCCUACACACAAACUUCCAACAUUUCCGUCACAUUGUUUCAAUUUCAAUCAAACUUUUAAUUUUAGCGUGAAAUAAACACACCCUUUGAUUACGGUUUAGUCAGAACAUUUGCGAAUUGCAAUGCGCGCGGGUGAAACACCUUUAUCAGACGCGAUCGGGAAUUCAGGAUCGGGAACAGCUGCGUGCCGUGCAGAAUAAUACUUCGUAUUACAGAAAGUUUAGAAUCCGUAUUACGCGAGAGCAGAGUCGAUGCAGUGUGUUUUGAGUAGGGGUGUGAACGCAGCUGAACAGCAAGCAGAGUUGGCAGAUUCGAAUUCUUGUCCCGUAAAUUUUUCCUUGCCUUAUCCUACACCCAGGCCUAGAUGCUUGCUUUUUAUAAUCCUCUAGUGGCAACACAGCCUCACCUAUAAAUGCUGUGACUGAUGAUAAGUCCAGUGCAUUCCAUCACAGACAGUUCGCAGAAUCGCAGCAGCUUAGCUUAAUUACUUUUUUCACCAACUCAACUUUCAGUUAAUUUCCGGUUAAUCCUCGAUUCCUCAUCAUGCCUGGACUCACCCUCGGCGACGUCGUCCCCGACCUGGAGCUCGACACCACCCACGGCAAGAUCCGCCUCCACGACUUCG
rnacentral:lncRNA from 1 species